AAAAAUUCGCGGGGGGUGUGAUGAUUGGGCCGCUGUGAAAAAAUAAUUGCUGAUUGGUUGUAAGCUAAAUAACCCGCGCGAUUUGAAAAUCUACAAAGUAAUACUAAGGCGAAAACAAAAGCGGGAGGAUAAUGAUAGUAAAUAGUUAUGUUGGGGGUGUAUGGAUUCGGGGUUUAGAGGUAGGUUUUUGGAUCAAGACAAUAAGACGCACAAUAGCUUCUGCGUGCCAUUACGGGUUAAUGCAGACAUUUCGGUAUUUGGAGCAGACAGAUAUGUGACUGGCAGCGUUACAGUCCAAGCUUCGGCUUCCUCAGGGAUACCGGGAGGGAAGUGAAAGCGCUGCGGACGGUAGCCUGUCCUAUUGGCGAGCGCUUCCCCUGCCCACAUAUCCGUGCUACAGGCAGCUGUGUGCGCACAAUAAUGCCGCAUGGAGUGGGGGAUCCCAUUCCUCAUACUCCUAUUAGUAAGUGCAGCCCUACAGACUAUACGCGGGCUCUCAGCGGGGGACACAUGGCCAGUAAUAGUAGCAAUGAGUCGCACUAGCCUCGCACAAUGGCUACAAGCCCUCCCGCCAUUAUUGCACAUCAUUUCAUUACUCGCACAUCCAAACGGGACGGCUGCUCUUUAGGAAACCGCAUUAUUACUGAGGGCGAGUGUUCGCUUUCUCUUCUCGCCGCAUUUCCCGCCUAUUUGCAGCUUUGACUCCAUGUUGGCGGAGCAGUGAGUGGAUCCCACAUGAUAUCCGUCUCGCCUCCCCAUGGCACAAAGGCGACGCUUUCUCUAUACGCGCUGCAUUCUCUGCUAGUCAGGGCCAUGUGUAGGGGAAGGCGGACCCUGAUUUCUAGAUCCUCAGCUAUGGCACUGAGACUCACUGUGCUAAUGCGUUCCACCAUAGGUUGUGUUUGGAGCCGUUUUCUCCUAUAAUAAAGGUUAAUGGCACACUGGAUAUUUUCUUUUUUAUCAGCAAAAGGCAGGCGGGCAUCUAUGUUGUGAAGCUACAAACAUUAUAACCAUUUGGAUUCUUAUACCGGUUUGGGUAGUUAGGUGCCUGCAUUCCUAUGGUACCCGCAGUCUAGUUGUUAGGGAUCACUAACUGCCUGCUGCUGGCACCCAAACAUUCUUGGGGUUCUGGGGUUUGUAGAUCUAACAAGGUGGGAUCCCAUGUAGCCCACUCCUGGCAUGUACAUGAAUAUCUCUCAUUAUAUUGACUUAUUAACCCACUUUAUGAAGUGUAGUUUACAUGACCCACUAUAUGGGAACAGGACAGUUGGGGGCUAGAUCAUUAGCAGCUGUUGGAGAAGGGGAUGCCGUACAUUACUGCAUGGGAGAGCAUUGUCUGCAGGGUUACAAUAAGCCAUGCUUGCCUACGGAAUCCUCCCCUUCCCUCCCCCCUUACAUUGUUAUGGGAGACUUUUAUAUUCAGGAUAGCUACAACUCAUGGCAUCACUCCCUCUACUGGGACACAAUAAUGGGAUCUUUUGCUUUCUUUACUUUUGCACUUUCAGGUUCCUACCAAUCAAGCCCUAUUCCUCCUACUUUUGUUCUUUCAUCAUUUACAAUCCCCACUGAUAUCCUUAGUGUACCCAGGGAAGGAAAAAAACCAAGGGCUAAGCAGCAAUGCUUGCUGUGAGUUGUGUGAAGCAUUUCUUUUUUAACAGGAAAUCCUAUUUGUAUCCAUUUCUUAUUCCCUCAUAGAAACUGGAAACUCUUUCACAAGCUUUGUGGUUUUCUAGAAAUGUGAUUCUUUUUAACAUUAUGCAAGAGUGCAGCAUCUCAUGUGCAGCCUGUAGCUGUAAGCAAUAUGUAGCUAAGAUUGUAAUAUUCAUUCAUUAUAACAAUGCUUUAUAACUAAGUGCACAUAUUUUUGUAUUAAAAUUGCCCAUAGGGUAUGAUGUUUGUGUUGUAAUAGCUAAAGCAGAUUUAUUUGCAAUACUUAGGGGCCCAAUUACUAAAUCCCAAUUAAAUAUUUGAGAGAAAUUCAUAUUUUUUCUAACUCAUAGAACAUUUUGUAACGUUAACGAUAAUUUCAUUAAAGUUCCACAACUUUUUUGUAGUUUUUGCUAA